GGGGAUGUGGUCUAGUGGUAUGACGUUUCCUUAGCAUGCUCUCAUCUUCUUCAUGAAGUGAGCCGCAUGGAAAAGGUUCUGGGUUCGAUUCCCAGCCUCUCCA